rnacentral:rRNA from 1 species
UACGGGGGGGGCAAGCGUUGUUCGGAAUUACUGGGCGUAAAGGGCUCGUAGGCGGCCAACUAAGUCAGACGUGAAAUCCCUCGGCUUAACCGGGGAACUGCGUCUGAUACUGGAUGGCUUGAGGUUGGGAGAGGGAUGCGGAAUUCCAGGUGUAGCGGUGAAAUGCGUAGAUAUCUGGAGGAACACCGGUGGCGAAGGCGGCAUCCUGGACCAAUUCUGACGCUGAGGAGCGAAAGCCAGGG